rnacentral:rRNA from 1 species
GGGACACGUGGUAUCCUGUCUGAAUAUGGGGGGACCAUCCUCCAAGGCUAAAUACUCCUGACUGACCGAUAGUGAACCAGUACCGUGAGGGAAAGGCGAAAAGAACCCCGGCGAGGGGAGUGAAAAAGAACCUGAAACCGUGUACGUACAAGCAGUGGGAGCCUCUUAAUGGGGUGACUGCGUACCUUUUGUAUAAUGGGUCAGCGACUUAUAUUCUGUAGCAAGGUUAACCGAAUAGGGGAGCCGAAGGGAAACCGAGUCUUAACUGGGCGUUAAGUUGCAGGGUAUAGACCCGAAACCCGGUGAUCUAGCCAUGGGCAGGUUGAAGGUUGGGUAACACUAACUGGAGGACCGAACCGACUAAUGUUGAAAAAUUAGCGGAUGACUUGUGGCUGGGGGUGAAAGGCCAAUCAAACCGGGAGAUAGCUGGUUCUCCCCGAAAGCUAUUUAGGUAGCGCCUCGUGAAUUCAUCUCCGGGGGUAGAGCACUGUUUCGGCAAGGGGGUCAUCCCGACUUACCAACCCGAUGCAAACUGCGAAUACCGGAGAAUGUUAUCACGGGAGACACACGGCGGGUGCUAACGUCCGUCGUGAAGAGGGAAACAACCCAGACCGCCAGCUAAGGUCCCAAAGUCAUGGUUAAGUGGGAAACGAUGUGGGAAGGCCCAGACAGCCAGGAUGUUGGCUUAGAAGCAGCCAUCAUUUAAAGAAAGCGUAAUAGCUCACUGGUCGAGUCGGCCUGCGCGGAAGAUGUAACGGGGCUAAACCAUGCACCGAAGCUGCGGCAGCGACACUAUGUGUUGUUGGGUAGGGGAGCGUUCUGUAAGCCUGUGAAGGUGUACUGUGAGGUAUGCUGGAGGUAUCAGAAGUGCGAAUGCUGACAUA